GCGGGAGUGCUGGAAUUGGCAGACAGGCUAGACUAAGGAUCUAGUGGUCGAAAGGUCGUGUGGGUUCAAGUCCCAUCUCCCGCA
rfam:Firmicutes bacterium CAG:227 genomic scaffold, scf267